rnacentral:rRNA from 1 species
AUGAACGCUGGCGGCACGCUUAACACAUGCAAGUCGAACGGGAUCUUCGGAUCUAGUGGCAGACGGGUGAGUAACGCGUGGGAACCUGCCCAGUAGUAGAGAAUAACUUGAGGAAACUUAAGCUAAUACUUUAUACACCCUCCGGGGAAAAGCUUUAUGCGCUAUUGGAUGGGCCCGCGUUAGAUUAGUUUGUUGGUGAGGUAAUGGCUCACCAAGACUACGAUCUAUAGCUGGUCUGAGAGGAUGAUCAGCCACACUGGGACUGAGACACGGCCCAGACUCCUACGGGAGGCAGCAGUGGGGAAUAUUGGACAAUGGGGGCAACCCUGAUCCAGCGAUGCCGCGUGAGUGAUGAAGGCCUUCGGGUUGUAAAACUCUUUCGUCAGGGAAGAUAAUGACGGUACCUGAAGAAGAAGGUCCGGC